UUUAUGGAGAGUUUGAUCCUGGCUCAGAGUGAACGCUGGCGGCGUGCCUAAUACAUGCAAGUCGAACGAUGAAGCUUCUAGCUUGCUAGAGUGCUGAUUAGUGGCGCACGGGUGAGUAACGCAUAGGUCAUGUGCCUCUUAGUUUGGGAUAGCCAUUGGAAACGAUGAUUAAUACCAGAUACUCCCUACGGGGGAAAGAUUUAUCGCUAAGAGAUCAGCCUAUGUCCUAUCAGCUUGUUGGUAAGGUAAUGGCUUACCAAGGCUAUGACGGGUAUCCGGCCUGAGAGGGUGAACGGACACACUGGAACUGAGACACGGUCCAGACUCCUACGGGAGGCAGCAGUAGGGAAUAUUGCUCAAUGGGGGAAACCCUGAAGCAGCAACGCCGCGUGGAGGAUGAAGGUUUUAGGAUUGUAAACUCCUUUUGUUAGAGAAGAUAAUGACGGUAUCUAACGAAUAAGCACCGGCUAACUCCGUGCCAGCAGCCGCGGUAAUACGGAGGGUGCAAGCGUUACUCGGAAUCACUGGGCGUAAAGAGCGCGUAGGCGGGAUAGUCAGUCAGGUGUGAAAUCCUAUGGCUUAACCAUAGAACUGCAUUUGAAACUACUAUUCUAGAGUGUGGGAGAGGUAGGUGGAAUUCUUGGUGUAGGGGUAAAAUCCGUAGAGAUCAAGAGGAAUACUCAUUGCGAAGGCGACCUGCUGGAACAUUACUGACGCUGAUUGCGCGAAAGCGUGGGGAGCAAACAGGAUUAGAUACCCUGGUAGUCCACGCCCUAAACGAUGGAUGCUAGUUGUUGGAGGGCUUAGUCUCUCCAGUAAUGCAGCUAACGCAUUAAGCAUCCCGCCUGGGGAGUACGGUCGCAAGAUUAAAACUCAAAGGAAUAGACGGGGACCCGCACAAGCGGUGGAGCAUGUGGUUUAAUUCGAAGAUACACGAAGAACCUUACCUAGGCUUGACAUUGAGAGAAUCCGCUAGAAAUAGUGGAGUGUCUGGCUUGCUAGACCUUGAAAACAGGUGCUGCACGGCUGUCGUCAGCUCGUGUCGUGAGAUGUUGGGUUAAGUCCCGCAACGAGCGCAACCCCCUUUCUUAGUUGCUAACAGGUUAUGCUGAGAACUCUAAGGAUACUGCCUCCGUAAGGAGGAGGAAGGUGGGGACGACGUCAAGUCAUCAUGGCCCUUACGCCUAGGGCUACACACGUGCUACAAUGGGGUGCACAAAGAGAAGCAAUACUGCGAAGUGGAGCCAAUCUUCAAAACACCUCUCAGUUCGGAUUGUAGGCUGCAACUCGCCUGCAUGAAGCUGGAAUCGCUAGUAAUCGCAAAUCAGCCAUGUUGCGGUGAAUACGUUCCCGGGUCUUGUACUCACCGCCCGUCACACCAUGGGAGUUGUGUUUGCCUUAAGUCAGGAUGCUAAAUUGGCUACUGCCCACGGCACACACAGCGACUGGGGUGAAGUCGUAACAAGGUAACCGUAGGUGAACCUGCGGUUGGAUCACCUCCUUUCUAGA
rnacentral:rRNA from 1 species